rnacentral:rRNA from 1 species
UACGUAGGGCGCAAGCGUUAUCCGGAAUUAUUGGGCGUAAAGAGCUCGUAGGCGGUUUGUCGCGUCUGCCGUGAAAGUCCGGGGCUCAACUCCGGAUCUGCGGUGGAUACGGGCAGACUAGAGUGAUGUAGGGGAGACUGGAAUUCCUGGUGUAGCGGUGAAAUGCGCAGAUAUCAGGAGGAACACCGAUGGCGAAGGCAGGUCUCUGGGCAUUAACUGACGCUGAGGAGCGAAAGCAUGGGGAGCGAACAGG